GCCACCGUCUUCUUCUCAUUGGUCAGUCUGUCCACCCGCAGUGACAGCUCCACGUGCGAGAGGGACCGCCCCGGCGCGUUGAUUGGGAGUCUGGACGAAAGUCACGCCCCCAUCCACUUUGGAGGUUCUUAUUGGCUGUGGCGCGGGCCUCCGACCUGCCCGGAUCCGGGACGUAAAUGCCAACCAUCCCUCUAAAGUUUCUUAUAGGCUGGUAGGUCUCGGAGCUGUAGAGGACACGUGCCGGCGGCCUCACGCGGCAGCUUGUUUACCUGGAAGCUGGGGAUUUUCCUUGACGACACUCUUUACCAGAGACUGCGGAGUCCACGCAGGCGCAGCGAGUGUGACCCGCACGCAGGCGCAGUUGUGAGCGGCGGUGGCGUUGGUCGGGGGAGCUUUGUGCCGAGACCCGGGUGAGCUGUCCUGGGCGUGACCAGAGCGCCCCCACCCCGCCCGCGCUCAGUCUCCAGCCCUGGGUCCCUAAAGCCCCGCGAAGCUGCAAGCGGCCGGCCUAACGGUGGAGCGGUCUUCGGAUUUCAGCGCCGCGCGAUUAUGAUGGCAAUGGAGAUGGCGACGGCUACCUCGGGUCGUUCUCUGGACCAAGCCCCGAGGCCGUCUCACUACAGCUCCGCCUCACAGAGGACUCUGGGCUCCAGAGGUUACAUAAUCUGUCUGGAUUAACACUCCAGUCCGUACGGAGCCAAGAUUUAAACCCAGGCCCCUGACACGAUAAAGGACGGGUCCGAGGACGCUCGCGAACCCUCGGUAGAUGAAGGAGCCCCGCGAGCAGCGGAGUGAGCCCUCGGAUGCUGGCACUGUCAGAGGAACCUCGGGGAAAAGACGUCUCGCAGAAGUCGGCCAUCUACUUCAGGCUGGGAGUAAAAGACCACGGGAGCGACUGCGGAGCAUCUGGGAAUUAAAUCAAGCGCUGUAGAGGGAUCCAACAAAGACAGGAGCUUGCCUACAGGCCCAAGCCGCAGGGUUCACCAGGCUGACACAGGAAUCAAGAACGGUUCCUCGCAUCAGCGCCUGGCGCCCACCCGUGGCCACUUUGGGAAUCACAUUUAGCUCUGCCCAAGGUCAGGCCCUCCAGCAAAGCUCUGUCAAUUCCAAAUUAUCUUCUCAACUUUCCUGGUUCACCCUUCCCACUGGUUAAGAAAAGGUCUUAGAACACACACCAGCUGGUUACUCAUUACACAUUUAUUGUACAUUUUCACAAUCUGGAUGCGUCACAGAAUUGGGGGCAUGGGGGGAGGGAAGGGGGGGCAGGGGACACUGGGAUAAUAUGGGGGGUCUAGAACACAGCACCCCCACCCCCAGCAUCUCUCCCUACCCUUUCACACCACAGCUUAGAUCUCCCUGCUCCCCCUCCACACAGAAACCUUGAGUGUGUAGGGAAGAGUGAGUUUGGGGGGGUCCCCUCCAGCAGGUUAAGGGACUGGACCCUCAGACCCCUAAAAUUGUGCCAUUUAAAAAGACAUUAGACCCUUCCUCUAUCACUUCACCUAAGGAGGAAACAACUCCUGGGGCUCAACUGCCCUGGAGAGGGGCGAGAAUCCCCAUCUUCCAGCAAGUCCCAUACACACAUUGGCAGUGACUAGUACCCCCACCCUGAAUUCAGGGGGGCAGUCAGAGGAGCUGGGCAGUGAUGGGAGCAACACCCCCCCCCCCCAAACUGGGGAGGGGAGUUUCGAUCCAAACCCCAGCAAGGGUAGGGCCAGAUUUCAGGCAGGAAUUGGGGGGAUUCUCUGCCCUGCCCCACUCCUCCCCGAGGCAGUGAUGACCCCCACACACUGACAGCCAGCUCUCCCAAAAGAGUCAGAUUGUGGCCCACCCCCAAACACUCCUGGUGGGAGGAGGAGGAGGCAGAUCAGGUGGAUGGGAGGGAGGGAGACCCCAUGGGAAUGUCGGUUGAGUGCCCCACAUGAAAACUGGGGAGCAGGAAUGUGGGGAGAGACUCCAAGUGGCAAACUAUUGGUCCAUCAUGACACACUGAACUCCAAGACACUUACACACCAGCUGGGGAGAGGAGGAGGAGGGGACAAAAGGUCUGGAAAAUGGGGGUAGGGAGGCAAACCAGACUAAAGGGGCUAGGAGGGGGUGAUUCUGGGGGCCAGGAGAGGCUGGCUCUCCAAAAUCCCAGGCUCCCACCACCUGCAAGUAAUGUCAUGCAAAUGAAAGACUGAUACAAGGACCAUGGGGACUAACUCCUCAGUAAAAAAGAAGAAACAUGGGUGGAAAGAAUGAAGAACGAUGGAACGAAAGAGAAGGAACCAAAAGGGAUGUCAGUAUGUAAAUGAAUGCUAAUUAACAUGCUGGAAGCUCCCAGAAGACCUUGGGAUUCUUAGGACCAAGUGGGGCCAGUCUCAGGGCCUCCCAAAGA